rnacentral:rRNA from 1 species
CUGGAACGCGCUUCGGCGCACCCAGAAACCCUUUGUGAACUUAUACCUUACUGUUGCCUCGGCGCAGGCCGGCCCCUCCACCGGGGCCCCUCGGAGACGAGGAGCAGCCCGCCGGCGGCCAACCAAACUCUUGUUUCUUAGUGAAUCUCUGAGUAAAAAACAUAAAUGAAUCAAAACUUUCAACAACGGAUCUCUUGGUUCUGGCAUCGAUGAAGAACGCAGCGAAAUGCGAUAAGUAAUGUGAAUUGCAGAAUUCAGUGAAUCAUCGAAUCUUUGAACGCACAUUGCGCCCUCUGGUAUUCCGGAGGGCAUGCCUGUUCGAGCGUCAUUUCAACCCUCAAGCCUGGCUUGGUGUUGGGGCACUGCUUCGAGAGAAGCAGGCCCUGAAAUCUAGUGGCGAGCUCGCCAGGACCCCGAGCGUAGUAGUUAUAUCUCGUUCUGGAAGGCCCUGGCGGUGCCCUGCCGUUAAACCCCCAACUUCUGAAAUUUUGACCUCG